rnacentral:rRNA from 1 species
CGGCGAUGUCCGAAUGGGGAAACCCAGUGCAAUUCGUUGCACUAUCGUUAACUGAAUACAUAGGUUAACGAGGCGAACCGGGGGAACUGAAACAUCUAAGUACCCCGAGGAAAAGAAAUCAACCGAGAUUCCCCCAGUAGCGGCGAGCGAACGGGGAGCAGCCCAGAGUCUGAAUCAGCUUGUGUGUUAGUGGAACGGUCUGGAAAGUCCGACGGUACAGGGUGAUAGUCCCGUACACCAAAAUGCACAGGCUGUGAACUCGAAGAGUAGGGCGGGACACGUGGUAUCCUGUCUGAAUAUGGGGGGACCAUCCUCCAAGGCUAAAUACUCCUGACUGACCGAUAGUGAACCAGUACCGUGAGGGAAAGGCGAAAAGAACCCCGGCGAGGGGAGUGAAAAAGAACCUGAAACCGUGUACGUACAAGCAGUGGGAGCACCUUCGGGUGUGACUGCGUACCUUUUGUAUAAUGGGUCAGCGACUUAUAUUCUGUAGCAAGGUUAACCGUAUAGGGGAGCCGCAGGGAAACCGAGUCUUAACUGGGCGUUAAGUUGCAGGGUAUAGACCCGAAACCCGGUGAUCUAGCCAUGGGCAGGUUGAAGGUUGGGUAACACUAACUGGAGGACCGAACCGACUAAUGUUGAAAAAUUAGCGGAUGACUUGUGGCUGGGGGUGAAAGGCCAAUCAAACCGGGAGAUAGCUGGUUCUCCCCGAAAGCUAUUUAGGUAGCGCCUCGUGAAUUCAUCUUCGGGGGUAGAGCACUGUUUCGGCUAGGGGGUCAUCCCGACUUACCAACCCGAUGCAAACUACGAAUACCGAAGAAUGUUAUCACGGGAGACACACGGCGGGUGCUAACGUCCGUCGUGAAGAGGGAAACAACCCAGACCGCCAGCUAAGGUCCCAAAGUCAUGGUUAAGUGGGAAACGAUGUGGGAAGGCACAGACAGCCAGGAUGUUGGCUUAGAAGCAGCCAUCAUUUAAAGAAAGCGUAAUAGCUCACUGGUCGAGUCGGCCUGCGCGGAAGAUGUAACGGGGCUAAACCAUGCACCGAAGCUGCGGCAGCGACACUAUGUGUUGUUGGGUAGGGGAGCGUUCUGUAAGCCUGCGAAGGUGUGCUGUGAGGCAUGCUGGAGGUAUCAGAAGUGCGAAUGCUGACAUAAGUAACGAUAAAGCGGGUGAAAAGCCCGCUCGCCGGAAGACCAAGGGUUCCUGUCCAACGUUAAUCGGGGCAGGGUGAGUCGACCCCUAAGGCGAGGCCGAAAGGCGUAGUCGAUGGGAAACAGGUUAAUAUUCCUGUACUUGGUGUUACUGCGAAGGGGGGACGGAGAAGGCUAUGUUAGCCGGGCGACGGUUGUCCCGGUUUAAGCAUGUAGGCUGAUUGUCCAGGCAAAUCCGGAUAAUCAAGGCUGAGGUGUGAUGACGAGGCACUACGGUGCUGAAGUAACAAAUGCCCUGCUUCCAGGAAAAGCCUCUAAGCAUCAGGUAACAUCAAAUCGUACCCCAAACCGACACAGGUGGUCAGGUAGAGAAUACCAAGGCGCUUGAGAGAACUCGGGUGAAGGAACUAGGCAAAAUGGUGCCGUAACUUCGGGAGAAGGCACGCUGGUGUGUAGGUGAAGUCCCUGCGGAUGGAGCUGAGACCAGUCGAAGAUACCAGCUGGCUGCAACUGUUUAUUAAAAACACAGCACUGUGCAAACACGAAAGUGGACGUAUACGGUGUGACGCCUGCCCGGUGCCGGAAGGUUAAUUGAUGGGGUUAUCCGUAAGGAGAAGCUCUUGAUCGAAGCCCCGGUAAACGGCGGCCGUAACUAUAACGGUCCUAAGGUAGCGAAAUUCCUUGUCGGGUAAGUUCCGACCUGCACGAAUGGCGUAAUGAUGGCCAGGCUGUCUCCACCCGAGACUCAGUGAAAUUGAACUCGCUGUGAAGAUGCAGUGUACCCGCGGCAAGACGGAAAGACCCCGUGAACCUUUACUAUAGCUUGACACUGAACAUUGAGCCUUGAUGUGUAGGAUAGGUGGGAGGCUUUGAAGCGUGGACGCCAGUCUGCGUGGAGCCAACCUUGAAAUACCACCCUUUAAUGUUUGAUGUUCUAACGUUGGCCCCUUACCGGGGUUGCGGACAGUGUCUGGUGGGUAGUUUGACUGGGGCGGUCUCCUCCCAAAGCGUAACGGAGGAGCACGAAGGUUAGCUAAUCCUGGUCGGACAUCAGGAGGUUAGUGCAAUGGCAUAAGCUAGCUUGACUGCGAGCGUGACGGCGCGAGCAGGUGCGAAAGCAGGUCAUAGUGAUCCGGUGGUUCUGAAUGGAAGGGCCAUCGCUCAACGGAUAAAAGGUACUCCGGGGAUAACAGGCUGAUACCGCCCAAGAGUUCAUAUCGACGGCGGUGUUUGGCACCUCGAUGUCGGCUCAUCACAUCCUGGGGCUGAAGUAGGUCCCAAGGGUAUGGCUGUUCGCCAUUUAAAGUGGUACGCGAGCUGGGUUUAGAACGUCGUGAGACAGUUCGGUCCCUAUCUGCCGUGGGCGCUGGAGAAUUGAGGGGGGCUGCUCCUAGUACGAGAGGACCGGAGUGGACGCAUCACUGGUGUUCGGGUUGUCAUGCCAAUGGCACUGCCCGGUAGCUAAAUGCGGAAGAGAUAAGUGCUGAAAGCAUCUAAGCACGAAACUUGCCCCGAGAUGAGUUCUCCCUGAGACUUUAAGUCUCCUGAAGGAACGUUAAAGACGAUGACGUUGAUAGGCCGGGUGUGUAAGCGCAGCGAUGCGUUGAGCUAACCGGUACUAAUGAACCGUGAGGCUUAACCUU